CGGGUCAGGUGUUUACCUGUGCAGGUAAUGCUCUGUGCCCCUGCUGCGGCUACUGCUUCAUUUCAUUUAUCACUGUCCUCAUGCUUAAAGCCGAUGUGUUUUCACUGCGGAGCAGCAACUCUGUGCUCCGUUUAGUCCCUGGUCUUCUCUAGCGGUGGUAGAUGACUGCUGCCGUGUGGGUCUCUCUCUCCCUCCCUCUCCCUGUGCAGGUUUGACCUUGAAAACAGGGAACGCUCCUCAGCUGGCCGAAGUCUACAGGUGGCGAUUCAUGUGACUCCUCCAUCAGCUGAUUGGGGCCACUGCUGUUUUGUCUCUGCUGCUAAUCAGUUUCUCUGCUGCUACAUACGACGUUGUCCCCUGCCUUAUCUCUGGCAGCCACUUAUUCCUGGCUGCUCUAUGCUGCUUGGUGCUGGUGCUUUUGCUGACUUUUUGCUACAGCCGGCUUGCAUGGUGGACUGCCGACAUCACACUUUUAACCUGUUUAUCCCUUUCAUUUUAGCCGAAUGUUUGUGAGGAGUUAAUCCCUUGGUUUUGUAUUGCUUGUUUUGUAUUCUGUAUUCUUUUGAUUGGGUAGAUUGUUUUGUUUAUUUUUAACUAUUUCCUGCUUUGUUGUAUAUUGUUUGGUACAUUUUGGGUUCAUUAUUUCCGUUUUAACUUUUUUGUUUCCUUCUCAGUGGCUGCAGGCUGGUGGUGGUGCUGGUGACGUGGGUGGUGGUGUCCCUCCUUCUUGUGUGCUGUGCUUCCUUAGAUUUGGUGAUACCACGUGCGUCUGGGUGAACCCUCUUCCUUUAAUUUAGUUUUGUUGAGUCCCGUUCCACCUCACCUGCUCUUUCUCCACCAGUAGGCCUCAGCCCCUGAUUAGGUUAUUUCUUUGUUUAUUUGGGGUGAAUGUUCAUUUUUAUGAUAACAUAUUACUUUAUUAAAUAAAGUGUAUUUGUAAUCUGGGAACCACGUGUCUUGCCUGUCGAGUGGAACGAACCUGUGUCUUUGAUCAAUGUAAAAUAAUAUAUUAUAAUUCCUUGGGUGCAAUUCCCAAGGUGGCGUUGUCGAGCAACCUAAGAUUCACAUUGAGAGCCUCCACGCCGCCACAAUAGCUAACAUUAUUAAACAUUUAGAAGAUGUAAAGCUCUCUAAAAUAUGUUUGUUAAUAAUUGCUGUUACAGCUUAACUUUGACUUUGAGUCAUAGGAUUCAUGAAUGUUGCAAACAACCACUGGAAAUUCCUGUAUCUCUACAAGUUGAACCAAAACGUGUUUGUCAUGGAUCCCUUGGGUCAUGAGGACAAAGAGUCAGGCGUUGCUGCGGAACGGUUUCGCCAGUUCUUCAGGAGGCGGCAGAACCGCUAACAGAAGACUGACUGGGUGGAUGUAAAGUGGCAGCAAGCCACAAUCAAGCACAGCAUUCAAAAGGAUGGUUGUAACUGUGGUGUUCUCGUCAUGAAGAUGGCUAGACAUGGUGGAGGCUUUUCCCGUUGUCCCCCAGGGAAUAGAAAUACCCACAUCACUAAAGGACUUAAAAGACCGGAGGAUCACCAUGGCAAAAACCAUACUGCAGUGCUCUGGUUUGUAGAAUGAACAAUGAUAAUAAAAGCUGGUACUGUAGAGUAACUUCUUCAAAAACAGUUAUUAUUAUUAGUCUUAAUUAUCCAUUUUAUUUUAUUCGUUACUCUGGCUCAUGCCCCAUCCACCAACAUGGAGGGAGCAGGAUAAAUGGCAUGUGAUGGAGUUUGCGUAUAUUUGUGUUUUAUAUCCAUUAUUUACCCCACCUUUAAUCAACAGUGAAAGUAAUUUGUAGAAUCACUAUAUUUUAGUCUUCAGCGAAACAGACCAUUGUUCCAGUUGCGGCCCGGAGAAUCCCAAUGGACAGAAGGGAAACACAAAAUGGGUUGAAUGCACUAAAUGCAAGAGGUGGUACCAUCCGCCCUGCAUGGCCAUGUCGGAUGAAGAAUGGGAAAAAGAGGAAGUAGCAUUGAAAUGGAACUGUGGCCUUUGCUGAUUUACCGUACAAGGUGUCUACGUUACAUAUCUAACUUUGAAUGUGCCUGGUAUGUGUGUAAUGUAUAAAGUGAACAUAGAAUAGAUAGAAUUCCUUCCAAUUACUGGCUGUAAAAUUCAUUUUAGUCUAAUCAAUUUGCUUUAGCAACUCUCAAUUAAUGCUAAACUACCUGAAAGGUUGUAUGUUUCAUGCCAAAAUAAAUAUUUGCAUGCUUGAUCUAAACUAAGAGCAGCAAAUUCUGAAGAAAAAUAAGGCAAAAUAAAAAAUUAGAAAUCCAUGUAAAUGAUGCUCACUGUUAUUAUUCUGUCUAAGAAUCGUGGAAAAGUGUUUUAAAGGGAAGCAAGAAGCUGUGAAAUCUUCAAUGGGAGUUUAUGAACACAUCGGUUUGGUGGUUUGGUGUUGAUAUCUUUAAAAACAAGGGAGGCAUUACAAAAAAAUAAUUCUUUGUGCUAAUCCACAAUGAUUUUCAAUUUUGAAAGCAUGUCUCGUGUUCAAGGUUCAAGGUUUUUUAUUAAAUGUCCCAAGAGGGCAAAUUAGUUCACAGCGAAGGAGGUAGUGGCUAAAAACACACGACAGAACAAGACAUCAAUGUUUUGUCUUUUUAGUGGACUCGGCAUUAAUAUGUGGUUCAUCCGACUCCCUUGAUAUUGCUCGAUUAACAAAUGCAUUCCUUUUUAACAGGGAACUAUGUAGCCAAUCAAAUGUCUUCCUCGUUUUCAGCAAAUCACAUGAGCACUGUACUUGACUCUGUAUUUAAUAUUUUCUAAAGUUCAGAGAUUUUUCCCUGUAAUUAUACCAAAAGUUUUGAUUCCUACAAAAACCGAUUAUUAGUGUGAUGAAAUAAAAAGCUGUAUAUAUUACACAAUUUUAACUACAAGAUUCGGCUUGGGAACAUUUUCUGGCAGGUGUUACUCAUGAUUAUUAUCAACACAUUUUAAAGCAUAUAAAUAUAAUUUUCUG